GGUAGUAUUCGAGGUUAUUGGAGGGAUUUUUUGUUUUGUACGCUCUUAAUAUUGUUUGUAGCUGACAGAGACUUGGACUAGUUGAGUGCUAAUAGGAAAGGACACAAAACAAAGGAAGAAGUUGAAAGAGAAGACAGAGUUAUCUAACAGAAUUCUAGGGCACAAGUGGAAGAGAGUGAGUUUAUAUGCCAAUAAAAAGUCAGAGCAGGUGGUAAAGCCACAGGUGGAAGUAUCGGAGUAUCACAUUUGUUCAUACGAGAUAAGAAGAGUGGUAUCCUUAAAGUGACUUUGGGAUAGAAGAGAAGAUAUAGUUAAUAGCUUGUUCUCUAUCCUAAAAUGUGCAGCAUGUAAUCAAACAGAAAUUUCUGCUUGAGAAGGAUACUGAUGUCCUACUGUCUUUAAGCCACAUGCGGGUUAUGAUUGAUGUAUUAUCUGGCCAUAAUUGAUUCAAGAAGAUGGAAAAUAACUUUGGUGAAGAGCUGAAAGAAACCUAAUGCAAUUCCAAGUGCAAGGCAAAGAGCAAUAACAGACAAACAGAGAAGAAGACAACGUGAAAACAGAAGCAGGGAUCAGAGUGAUGCAGUCACAAAUUCCACAAUCCCAG
rnacentral:lncRNA from 1 species